GGCGUGUACUGCUCUGCUGGGCCUUACCUCUUGGUGAGCCGGCGUGGCCUUAACUGGUUGCGUCGGGGAACCAGGACUUUUACCUUGAGAAAAUUAGAGUGUUCAAAGCAGGCCUAUGCCUGAAUACAUUAGCAUGGAAUAAUAAAAUAGGACGUGCGGUUCUAUUUUGUUGGUUUCUAGAGUCGCCGUAAUGAUUAAUAGGGAUAGUUGGGGGCAUUGGUAUUGAGUCGCUAGAGGUGAAAUUCUUGGAUUGACUCAAGACCGACUACUGCGAAAGCAUUUGCCAAGGAUGUUUUCAUUAAUCAAGGACGAAGGUUAGGGGAUCGAAAACGAGCAGAUACCGUUGUAGUCUUAACAGUAAACUAUGCCGACUAGGGAUCGGGCGACCUCAAAUUUGAUGUGUCGCUCGGCACCUUACGAGAAAUCAAAGUUUUUGGGUUCUGGGGGGAGUAUGGUCGCAAGGCUGAAACUUAAAGGAAUUGACGGAAGGGCACCACCAGGUGUGGAGCCUGCGGCUUAAUUUGACUCAACACGGGGAAACUCACCAGGUCCAGACAUAACUAGGAUUGACAGAUUGAUAGCUCUUUCAUGAUUUUAUGGGUGGUGGUGCAUGGCCGUUCUUAGUUGGUGGAGUGAUUUGUCUGGUUAAUUCCGAUAACGAACGAGACCUUAACCUGCUAAAUAGCCAGGCCGGCUUCUGCUGGUCGCAGGCUUCUUAGAGGGACUGUCAG
rnacentral:rRNA from 1 species